GUGGGGAAUAUUGGGCAAUGGGGGAAACCCUGACCCAGCAACGCCGCGUGAAGGAAGAAGGCUUUCGGGUUGUAAACUUCUUUUAUGAGGGACGAAGAAGUGACGGUACCUCAUGAAUAAGCCACGGCUAACUACGUGCCAGCAGCCGCGGUAAUACGUAGGUGGCAAGCGUUGUCCGGAUUUACUGGGUGUAAAGGGCGCGUAGGCGGGAUAGCAAGUCAGGUGUGAAAUCCGGGGGCUCAACCCUCGAACUGCACUUGAAACUGUUAUUCUUGAGUGAUGGAGAGGCAGGCGGAAUUCCUAGUGUAGCGGUGAAAUGCGUAGAUAUUAGGAGGAACACCAGUGGCGAAGGCGGCCUGCUGGACAUUAACUGACGCUGAGGCGCGAAAGCGUGGGGAGCAAACAGGAUUAGAUACCCGGGUAGUCC
rnacentral:rRNA from 1 species